GGAUGCGAUCAUACCAGCACUAAACCACCGGAUCUCUUCAGAACUCCGAAGUUAAGCGUGCUUGGGCGAGAGUAAUUCUAGGGUGAGUGACCUCCUGGGAAGUCCUCGCGCUGCGCGUUCC
rnacentral:rRNA from 1 species